GAUGAACGCUGGCGGCGUGCCUAACACAUGCAAGUCGAACGGAAAGGCCCUGCUUUUGCGGGGUGCUCGAGUGGCGCACGGGUGAGUAACACGUGAGUAUCCUGCCCUUGACUUUGGGAUAUCUUCAGGAAACUGCGGCUAAUACCGGAUAGGAGCUCCUGCUGCAUGGUGGGGGUUGGAAAGUUUAGGCGGUUGUGGAUGGACUCGCGGCUUACCAGCUUGUUGGUGGGGUAGUUGCUUACCAAGCCUUCGACGGGUAGCCGGCAUGGAAGGGGGAACAGCCUCAAUAGGCCUGAGGUACGGACCAGACUCGUACGGGAGGCAACAGUGGGGAGUAUGGCACAGUGGGGGGGAGCGUGAUGCAGCAGCGCCGCGAGCGGAAAGCCGGCCUACGGGUGGUGAACCGCUUUCGCCUGAGACGAAGCGUGAGUGACGGUAAUGAGUAAAGAAGCACCGGCUAACUACGUG
rnacentral:rRNA from 1 species